rnacentral:rRNA from 1 species
CUGCUGCCUCCCGUAGGAGUCUGGUCCGUGUCUCAGUACCAGUGUGGGGGACCUUCCUCUCAGAACCCCUACGCAUCGUCGCCUCGGUGGGCCGUUACCCCGCCGGCUAGCUAAUGCGACGCAUGGCCAUCCUAUGCCGGAGUCGCCUCCUUUGACCCCCAAGAAGAUGUCUCCUAAAGGUGUUAUGCGGUAUUAGACGGAAUUUCUUCCGCUUAUCCCCCUGCAUAGGGCAGGUUCCAUACGUGUUACUCACCCGUGCGCCGG